CGCACGGGUGAGUAACGCGUAUCCAACCUUCCCAUUACUGUGGGAUAACCUGCCGAAAGGCAGACUAAUACCGCAUAGUCUUCGAUGACGGCAUCAGAUUUGAAGUAAAGAUUUAUCGGUAAUGGAUGGGGAUGCGUCUGAUUAGCUUGUUGGCGGGGUAACGGCCCACCAAGGCGACGAUCAGUAGGGGUUCUGAGAGGAAGGUCCCCCACAUUGGAACUGAGACACGGUCCAAACUCCUACGGGAGGCAGCAGCA
rnacentral:rRNA from 1 species